GAUGAACGCUGGCGGCGUGCCUAAUACAUGCAAGUCGAGCGAACGGACGAGAAGCUUGCUUUUCUGAUGUUAGCGGCGGACGGAUGAGUAACACGUGGAUAACCUACCUAUAAGACUGGGAUAACUUCGGGAAACCGGAGCUAAUACCGGAUAAUAUUUUGAACCGCAUGGUUCAAAAGUGAAAGACGGUCUUGCUGUCACUUAUAGAUGGAUCCGCGCUGCAUUAGCUAGUUGGUAAGGUAACGGCUUACCAAGGCAACGAUGCAUAGCCGACCUGAGAGGGUGAUCGGCCACACUGGAACUGAGACACGGUCCAGACUCCUACGGGAGGCAGCAGUAGGGAAUCUUGCGCAAUGGGCGAAAGCCUGACGGAGCAACGCCGCGUGAGUGAUGAAGGUCUUCGGAUCGUAAAACUCUGUUAUUAGGGAAGAACAUAUGUGUAAGUAACUGUGCACAUCUUGACGGUACCUAAUCAGAAAGCCACGGCUAACUACGUG
rnacentral:rRNA from 1 species